GAUGAACGCUGGCGGCGUGCCUAAUACAUGCAAGUCGAGCGAACAGACGAGGAGCUUGCUCCUCUGACGUUAGCGGCGGACGGGUGAGUAACACGUGGAUAACCUACCUAUAAGACUGGGAUAACUUCGGGAAACCGGAGCUAAUACCGGAUAAUAUAUUGAACCGCAUGGUGCAAUAGUGAAAGACGGUUUUGCUGUCACUAAUAGAUGGAUCCGCGCCGCAUUGGCUAGUUGGUAAGGUAACGGCUUACCAAGGCAACGAUGCGUAGCCGACCUGAGAGGGUGAUCGGCCACACUGGAACUGAGACACGGUCCAGACUCCUACGGGAGGCAGCAGUAGGGAAUCUUCCGCAAUGGGCGAAAGCCUGACGGAGCAACGCCGCGUGAGUGAUGAAGGUCUUCGGAUCGUAAAACUCUGUUAUUAGGGAAGAACAAAUGUGUAAGUAACUAUGCACGUCUUGACGGUACCUAAUCAGAAAGCCCCGGCUAACUACGUG
rnacentral:rRNA from 1 species